UACGUAGGGGGCAAGCGUUGUCCGGAAUCAUUGGGCGUAAAGCGCGCGUAGGCGGCCCUGUAAGUCCGUUGUGAAAGUCAAAGGCUCAACCUUUGAAAGCCGAUGGAUACUGCAGGGCUAGAAUCCGGAAGAGGCGAGUGGAAUUCCAGGUGUAGCGGUGAAAUGCGUAGAUAUCUGGAGGAACACCGGUGGCGAAGGCGGCAUCCUGGACCGGCAUUGACGCUGAGGCGCGAAAGCCAGGGGAGCAAAGCGGG
rnacentral:rRNA from 1 species